rnacentral:lncRNA from 1 species
CUUCUGUUUAAUUGAAAAUAUAUUCGAUAUUUUGUGUUUUAUUAAGAUAGAGAAUACAGAGAAACCUCUUCAGGCGAAAUUCUAAAUCAAAUCUCCAAUGAAAAUCCAUCAAAAAAAGAUAAUAGUGCAUUCAGAAUGAGUAGGAAGGUCGUAAUAAUUCAAUCAACAAAAAUUCAGAAUCAUUUACUUUCUUCAUCAUUAUGCCGCAUCAUCCUUUUUCAGAUAUACUUCAAGUAAUCGAUUUUAAUAAAACAAACAAAAAAUAAAAGAAGAUGAAAGAAUUCCUCUCAGACAAAUGCCUCGAUUUGUCGUCACGAUUUUAUGUCGAAUGGAUUUCGAUCGGACUCGUCAUCGUAAUUUAUACAUCACUGAGAAAUCCAACACAGAAGGAUAAAAUCUACCAGAUGAUAAGAAACAGAGAAAUAGAGAAAAUUUUGAAACCGAAGAAAAACAAAUAUUAGAGAUGGAGUGAUAAGAAUACCAAUGGAGCUGUACUUAUAAUGGCUUCAGCCUCCAUCUACAAGUUUGCUUUAGGGUUAGGGUUUCGUCAGUUGAAAUAUGUUUAAAUGACUAAUUUGCCACUUAAACCCGACCCAAUAUUUGUCGUAUGCGGAGUGUGAUAACUUCUUGGGCUGGGCUCCUUUUACCUGCUAUUGAGAGAGAGAGAUUCAUCAUUUC